rnacentral:rRNA from 1 species
UACGGAGGGUGCGAGCGUUGUCCGGAAUCACUGGGCGUAAAGGGCGCGUAGGCGGCGCGGGCAGUCAACGGUGAAAGCUUGGGGCUCAACCCCGAGUCGGCCGUCGAUACUCCCGGGCUUGAGCACUGUAGAGGCAGGUGGAAUUCCGGGUGUAGCGGUGGAAUGCGUAGAGAUCCGGAAGAACACCAGUGGCGAAGGCGGCUCACUGGCCCGGUACUGACGCUGAGGUGCGAAAGCGUGGUGAGCAAACAGG